CCUUCUCCUUUUUCUUUCUUUUUCCGUACUAUUUUUUUCUUUCUAAUAAUUGUUUUUCCUGCACCAAUUGAAGGAACACAUAGAAUAGAAAAGUGGGUGCAGCACCCUAACGCAGCCCUCUGUACGACUACCCCUAACCCCUGCGCCCCUCACCAACAGCCUAGCUUCGAUCUACUCUGAGUUGGCACCCCCAAUCCACCAGCCCAGCCUUACCUUGGCCCUCAAUUGCCAUCUUCGUAUCGGUCGGCGCACCCCAUAUCAGCCACCAAACACAGCUGCUCUGACGCACCUUUAGCCAAAACGGGCUGAACCUCGAUCGAAGCUAGGCUAAUUUGCUCUGACCCUGCAGCACCUCGAGCCCAGGUCACCAACCCGAACCCGAUCGACCCAAGCUCUGGCCAAACCUAGCACGUGCGGACCCGAUCGACCCAAGCUCGGAGAUCCUAUCCAGAGCGGAGCCCCGCUUUGAAAUUAAAGUGUGUGGCUCUUUAUUUAGCUCACUUUUCGGUUACAUUUUCACAUUUCGCACUAUUCAGUGUCUAGAUAUUAGUGCGUAGAUUUUUUGUAUAAAGUUUCAUCCAAUUUGAAGAUUAUUUGAGCUUUUGUAAUCAUGAUUUACACGAACGGUUUCAUUUGAAUAAAUUUUGUUCUAUUGCUAAUUUAAUCUAAUUCGGUAACCAAAUGAUCUCCAAACUAGAUGAACUUUGCAUAGAUGAUCUACACACUAGGUUCUAGAUACUAAAUGGUGGAGAUGUGAAAAUGUAACAAAAAAGUGAGCCAAAUAAGGAGCCCCACACUUUAAUUUCAACACUGAGCCCCGCUUUGGAUAUUGCCACCCCACAAUCCACUUUACCAAUGAAUUACAUACAAAAUUUUUUAUUAAGAUGCAACCAUCAAUAAUCAACAUCUCAAAGGAGUUUUUUGAUAUGAUUCAAAUUUUUUAUAACAAUCGUAUGUUUUUUUUUCAAACAUCACAUACAUGCUUAGCGAAAUUCCAUCAUUUGUUGCUAUAAAGAAAAACCCUGAAAUACAUCGUUUCACACUAUUAAUGAACAUAUAUUAUAUGUUAAAAACCUCUCUUGGGGUUCCAAUUGAGACAACAUGAGGUCCUCAAAUGAACUUGAGUAAGGAACAAAUAAAAGAGAUACGCCAGGUAUAUUCUAAAAGAAAAUUGUAUGACUUUGACUCCAUAAGGGUAAGAAAUAGAGUAUGACUUUCUUUUAAGGAAUAUCUAUUUAAUAUAUAUAUAUAUUAUAAAAGAAAUUAUAUCUAAUAGUUAAAAUAUAGAGGAAAAAUUGAAAGGCCAAUUAUAAAAAGGUCAUUUUGAAGAUAUGAAAUGAUGAAAUGGUUACUAAUUCUUCCAUCAUGAUAAAAAAAAAAUAACUCUAUAAUUAUAGUUCCCAAACUGUCUUUAUAUAUACUUCAAACAAAAUCAUUAAGAGUGUCAUCGUCUCCAAAAAAAAAUACUUGAUACGAUCACAAUAACGAUUCUCUCUCUCUCUCUCUCUCUCUCUCUCUCUCUCUCUCUCUCUCUCUCUCUCUCUCUCUCUCUCUCUCUCUCUCUCUCUCUCUCUCUCUCUCUCUCUCUCUCUCUCUCAGGAUCCAGAUCGAAGCUGAAGAAUGGACACGCUCCACCACGUGGCGCCGCCAUGAGUAAUGACCGUUGAAAGGAGGGGUCUUUAAUUAACAUGAAUUAUAGGGUGAGUAAAGUGGUUUGUGGGAUGACAAUAGACGCACCCAAAGAAAACUUUUCAUUAGUUCUUUAUAGUUUAUGUUUGGUCAUCCCACAAUUAAUUUCCCACCAUUUAUGUAUGCCUUUUUUUUUAAAGUAAUUAUGUAUGCCUUAUUUAUACCAUAAUCGUGUAAUAAAAAUGUUGAUAAUUUGGUAUCUAUCUAUAUUUUCUACUACUACUAUUGGAUAUGAAUAUAUACCAAUACGAGCUUAAAAUAUUGUCAAGGUAUGUUUACUAUAUAUUGGAAAGAAACAAGUAAUGUUGAAUAUAUUUUUUAAAGAUAUUUUAUGUGGUAAGUUUAGCCCAGGGAAAUUCGAACUCCUGGCUCCAUCCAUGAUUGCUUGACCUUAUUUUUACCAUAUCGAAUAUGCUCGAUGGUGUCUAUCAUGAUAUUGG
rnacentral:lncRNA from 1 species